rnacentral:rRNA from 1 species
GACGAACGCUGGCGGCGUGCUUAACACAUGCAAGUCGAACGGAAAGGCCCUGCUUUUGUGGGGUGCUCGAGUGGCGAACGGGUGAGUAACACGUGAGUAACCUGCCCUUGACUUUGGGAUAACUUCAGGAAACUGGGGCUAAUACCGGAUAGGAGCUCCUGCUGCAUGGUGGGGGUUGGAAAGUUUCGGCGGUUGGGGAUGGACUCGCGGCUUAUCAGCUUGUUGGUGGGGUAGUGGCUUACCAAGGCUUUGACGGGUAGCCGGCCUGAGAGGGUGACCGGCCACAUUGGGACUGAGAUACGGCCCAGACUCCUACGGGAGGCAGCAGUGGGGAAUAUUGCAAAAUGGGCGGAAGCCUGAUGCAGCAACGCCGCGUGCGGGAUGACGGCCUUCGGGUUGUAAACCGCUUUCGCCUGUGACGAAGAGUGAGUGACGGUAAUGGGUAAAGAAGCACCGGCUAACUACGUG